rnacentral:rRNA from 1 species
GACGAACGCUGUCGGCGUGCCUAAUACAUGCAAGUCGACCUUAGGGGCGAACGGGUGAGUAACACGUGGGUAACCUGCCCCUCAGCAGGGGAGCACAAUUGGAAACAGGUGCUAAUACCGUAUACUGAUGGAUGGACCCGCGGUGCAUUAGAUAGUUGGUGAGGUAACGGCUCACCAAGGCCAAGAUGCAUAGCCGACCUGAGAGGGUGAUCGGACACAUGGGUACUGAGACACGGCCCAACCUCCUACGGGAGGCAGCCGUAGGGAAUCUUCGGCAAUGGACGAAAGUCUGACCGAGCAACGCCGCGUGAGUGAAGAAGGUUAUCGGAUCGUAAAACUCUGUUGUUAGAGAAGCGGUAUCUAACCAGAAAGCCACGGCUAACGACGUGCCAGCAGCCGCGGUAAUAC